GUUCGUUAGCAACCAGAGGGAAAAGUUUACUGUCUGUCCUCAGUGUUCAGCGGACACAGGUGUGAGUCAGUUCAAUCAGAGCACCGGCUCUCCACACACACUACUUACAUUUAAUUCUAUAUGAUCAUAAAACUAUGUUUCUUGAGGCAAAAUGGAUAUCCACGGUCACCUAAUGAUGCACGUGGAUCAAUGACGUCACGUGACGCUUUUUGUGUUCAUAUGGUUUAGUUUAAAUUUAAAAGGGUUUAAAUUUGAAAAGAAAUGAACAAAUGACUUGCAUACAUUUUUUUUAAGACCUAGUCUAAAAUUUCUUGUUUUAUCAAUUUUGGGAGAAUAUUUGGGGGAUGACGGAAAAAAUGUCAAUGUGGUGUAACCUUAAAAAUAAUUGCUUAAAAAAGGUGAAUAAAAUCAAUAAACCAGUUUGGCAUAAUCUUACAUUAGAACUGUUUAAUAGUAAAUAAAAGUAAUGGAACAACAUUGUUCUGAAUAUUAUAAUUAAUUUGGGGAAUCAUGUCAGUCAACUUCCUGAAGUGUCAAGCUGGGGGGGCUUUAGCGGACUGACUGUGACUCUUGUUGCAAAGAAACAUUCAUAGCUGCAAGCAUGUAGGCCUACUUGCUUUGUGUCAUCUGAUAAUUAAUAAUCAACCACAUCAAACCUCCACACAGGUAUCAAAAUCAAUAUAGCAGGGCACAGUAUACUCGGCAGAGUGAUGUACCAUAAACAACUGUUAAAGUUACUCAUCCCCUACAGAUGAGCUCAGUCAUUUCUCGGUACAGCUAAGACAUCAAAAGCGAGGGUCACGUAUCAACAAACCAACCUAUAACAACACACACGCAUGAGCACUGUAAAUACCAACAGAAAUAGUCCAGGCUGUCUACAAGGGAUCCAGUCCUCAUCAACACCCAUCACAUGCAAUAGGCUACAGUGCAAACAAUACAGUGAAUAAUACAGUUAACUGGGAAUAGCCCUUACCUUAAAACUGAAGCGACCACAGAGGCCUGUUUCUUUUUCUGAUCUUUGAGUUAAAGUCAGUGAAGUUUAUGAUAUAGUGCCGCCACGCUUCGAUGGUGAUGACCAGAUUAGCUUGAUUAAAGUUAAGUUAAUGAUGAAUCACCCUCGUGCAUGAGUCAUACAUCAGUAGCCUAAUUUUACGCCUGAUCCAUGAUAUAGAAAUACAUGGAAAAAACAGCAUAUAGUCAAUAUUAUAUAUAAUAAGUGUGGUAAACAGCUAAAUGAUGCUGGGGACAGUUAGGCCCUACUACUGAUGGAUAGCUGACGUUAUAGCCUGAGUGGGAGGCUGCUGCUGGGAGACUGAGUACAGUCAGACUACAGUAUAGUGGCAGCAGUAAACAUGACUGUCGCCUCCAACUAAAUCUCAGCCCAGAUCAUACAUCAUCACAUGUGGUACAGUUAAUCAUACAGUUGGUUAUUAACAGGUUGGUUAUUUACAGACAACACUUAGCCUAACGCUACCUGGUAAUUCAAAUAUGUAUAGAUGUCCAGAUGAGUAAUGUCUGGCCGCUGUGUUGGGUCAUUGAUCCACUUGGGCCGGGGAAGACUGAAGGAGGAUGAUGGCUGACCGAACCGAUCAACCUUAAUUUAUCAAGGUAUCGCAAACGCUCAGGUUCAGGCAAGGUCACAAAAUAAUUAUUAGACAUGUCUAUAAAACAAAGGCUUGUUUAAAACGAACUGAAUGUAUACAAAAAAAUCCAAUCAUCCUCGGCGCGCAAUGAAUCUUGGGAUAGGUUGGGCCACAAAGGAUCCAGCUGUUGGAUCCUCCAAAUUCUGGAAAAAAAGGCCACAUUUGAAGGAGCCUUCGAAAUGGGACAGCCUAGUUGCUGUGAUGCAUUCGGUCUUCAAAUGCAGCCUUUGAAGGGUGCGGCCCCUGAAUUGAGACACAGCUCAUGUGACAGGAAAUGAUAUCACAGAGAAGGACCCCUGAUGACCCCAUGCCAAGAUGCCACUUUCAAGCAAGGAAAAAUUGGCUCGUCACAGAGCUCAAGUGAACGCCGAUCCUGCUGCAAAGGCUUUCCACUUCGAUGGCAGCCUCAAGCAGGUUAUAGUCCACACGUGUGGCGUAUACAGCCUCAUCAUCCUUCUCCUGUGCCACUCUCUCUGCCUCUUCCCGCCAUAAUGAAUGUGUUGUAUGGGCUCAAAUGGAGCCUGUAUUGAGGGAUGCCAUAGGCAAAUGUAACACACCACCUUGUACUCUGUAUCAUCAGUGAUGGACCAGUGACCCACUACAGGAACAAGGAAAACUUUUUUCUACUCAACACAGUGCCGAUACAACCUCCUGAAGGAUCAACCCUCUAGCAUCAAAAACAAAUACUAUUGGAUAUCCGAGGAAGCCACUGCAAAGUACGAUGAAUCAGUCCCAACAAAUGUCCCAGCCGUGAAAGGUGUGGGAAGUGACCUCUGAAGAGCCAGUUGCAAUUCAGUGGAGGGAAAUUUAAUGUUUCUGUGCAAGACCUGGUAUCUGCAAGUGCUACCAUCCAUCUGCAGUAUGUUUCUGCAACCUACCAGAAAACCUCCCCUCUACAUCUACCGUCUGUCAGCAGCAUCUGAAAGGCAAGUUCAUUCUCGUCAGAUAUGAAAGUAAGCCUUUUGUGGGACAGGUCAUCCAGGUGGUGGGUGAAGAAGUGGAUUUGAGCUGCAUGCAAUAACUGGGUGGGAAGAAUGUAUUCAUCUGGCCUCCGGUUCUGUUAUGAGUCCAAUGUGCUGCAACAUAAUCUCAGAACCUUUGAACUCGUGUCAUUCAAAACUCAUGACGAAGGACUGGAAACAUUUCAAAGCGCACACACAGUCCUAAACACACACGAUUCUCCCUCUCUCUCACGCUCACACACACACACACACACACACACACACACACACACAAUUUUUGAAGACAUGUUUUUACCUUGAUUUGUUGUUGUCACACAUGAGUUCACCUUGAUGAUUCUUUUGUCAGAUGUUUUUUCUACAGUGAAAUUAAAUGAAACACCAAGUUCAGUUGACCUUGUUGACUGUCACACUUGA